CAGCACAGGGUAUGAUGAUAUCUAAGGGAUGUCAGCUUCUAGAACUUAUUACGAAACAAACUAAAUGUCUUUGACAGUCUGACUAUAUUAUCAAGGUUCUCCACAAAAGGAAAAAUAGUUUUGUAUAUGUAUUGUGCCUUAUGGCUGAUCUGCGUAACUGUUUCUUCUUUUGAAUGGAAAGACAAAGCAGAUCUCCUGUAUAUUCUAAAAUGAAGGACAUUGAGGUUCUUUCCAGCUUUCGACCAUCAGAAGUUUUUACUUGUCCAUUUGGGGUGGUAUAAUACCAGGCUACCAGCAGAUUAAGAGUGCUUAUCGUGAGAAAGCUACUCAUACUGCAGCAUCGUAGUUUGAGUCAAGUGAUUUCUGUAGAUCUGAUUAGAAUACUGUGUACAGUUUUGUUUGUAAAGGGAGAGAUGAGACAUGGCAUGUGAAAACUUAACAAAUUGUACAUCAAAUUUGGA
rnacentral:lncRNA from 1 species